rnacentral:rRNA from 1 species
GAUGAACGCUAGCUACAGGCUUAACACAUGCAAGUCGAGGGGCAGCAUUUCAGUUUGCUUGCAAACUGGAGAUGGCGACCGGCGCACGGGUGAGUAACACGUAUCCAACCUGCCGAUAACUCGGGGAUAGCCUUUCGAAAGAAAGAUUAAUACCCGAUGGUAUAAUCAGACCGCAUGGUCUUGUUAUUAAAGAAUUUCGGUUAUCGAUGGGGAUGCGUUCCAUUAGGCAGUUGGUGAGGUAACGGCUCACCAAACCUUCGAUGGAUAGGGGUUCUGAGAGGAAGGUCCCCCACAUUGGAACUGAGACACGGUCCAAACUCCUACGGGAGGCAGCAGUGAGGAAUAUUGGUCAAUGGGCGCAGGCCUGAACCAGCCAAGUAGCGUGAAGGAUGACUGCCCUAUGGGUUGUAAACUUCUUUUAUAUGGGAAUAAAGUUUUCCACGUGUGGAAUUUUGUAUGUACCAUAUGAAUAAGGAUCGGCUAACUCCGUGCCAGCAGCCGCGGUAAUACGGAGGAUCCGAGCGUUAUCCGGAUUUAUUGGGUUUAAAGGGAGCGUAGGUGGACAGUUAAGUCAGUUGUGAAAGUUUGCGGCUCAACCGUAAAAUUGCAGUUGAUACUGGCUGUCUUGAGUACAGUAGAGGUGGGCGGAAUUCGUGGUGUAGCGGUGAAAUGCUUAGAUAUCACGAAGAACUCCGAUUGCGAAGGCAGCUCACUGAACUGCAACUGACACUGAUGCUCGAAAGUGUGGGUAUCAAACAGGAUUAGAUACCCUGGUAGUCCACACAGUAAACGAUGAAUACUCGCUGUUUGCGAUAUACAGUAAGCGGCCAAGCGAAAGCAUUAAGUAUUCCACCUGGGGAGUACGCCGGCAACGGUGAAACUCAAAGGAAUUGACGGGGGCCCGCACAAGCGGAGGAACAUGUGGUUUAAUUCGAUGAUACGCGAGGAACCUUACCCGGGCUUAAAUUGCAUUUGAAUAUAUUGGAAACAGUAUAGCCGUAAGGCAAAUGUGAAGGUGCUGCAUGGUUGUCGUCAGCUCGUGCCGUGAGGUGUCGGCUUAAGUGCCAUAACGAGCGCAACCCUUAUCUUUAGUUACUAACAGGUCAUGCUGAGGACUCUAGAGAGACUGCCGUCGUAAGAUGUGAGGAAGGUGGGGAUGACGUCAAAUCAGCACGGCCCUUACGUCCGGGGCUACACACGUGUUACAAUGGGGGGUACAGAAGGCAGCUACCUGGUGACAGGAUGCUAAUCCCAAAAGCCUCUCUCAGUUCGGAUCGAAGUCUGCAACCCGACUUCGUGAAGCUGGAUUCGCUAGUAAUCGCGCAUCAGCCAUGGCGCGGUGAAUACGUUCCCGGGCCU